rnacentral:rRNA from 1 species
CCUACGGGAGGCAGCAGUAGGGAAUAUUGCUCAAUGGGCGAAACCCUGAAGCAGCAACGCCGCGUGGAGGAUGAAGGUUUUCGGAUUGUAAACCCCUGUUGUUAGAGAAGAUAAUGACGGUAUCUAACGAAUAAGCACCGGCCAACUCCGUGCCAGCAGCCCAGGGAAUACGGCGGGUGCAAGCGUUACUCGGAAUGACUGGGCGUAAAGAGCGCGUAGGCGGGAUAGCAAGUCAGAUGUGAAAUCCUAUGGCUUAACCAUAGAACUGCAUUUGAAACUGUAAUUCUAGAGUAUGGGAGAGGUAGGUGGAAUGCGUGGUGUAGGGGUAAAAUGCGUAGAGAUCAAGAGGAAUACUCAUUGCGAAGGCGACCUGCUAGAACAUAACUGACGCUGAUGCGCGAAAGCGUGGGGAGCAAACAGGAUUAGAUACCCCAGUAGUC